GGAAGUGUCGCAGCUCACUGGUAGAGCAACAGCUGGGUGUGCAGAAUGUCCCAGGUUCAAUUCCUGGCAUCUCCA